AACGUAGAGAAAUUUGCGCUAAUACCUCAUAAUGUCUUCGGACCAAAGAUUUAUCGCUCAGGGAUCAGCCCGCGUCAGAUUAGAUAGUUGGUGAGGUAACGGCUCACCAAGUCGACGAUCUGUAGGGGGUCUGAGAGGAUGAUCCCCCACACUGGUACUGAGACACGGACCAGACUCCUACGGGAGGCAGCAGUGAGGAAUAUUGGACAAUGGAGGAAACUCUGAUCCAGCCAUGCCGCGUGAGUGAAGAAGGCCUUAGGGUUGUAAAGCUCUUUCAAUUGUGAAGAUAAUGACGGUAGCAAUACAAGAAGCUCCGGCUAAAUUCGUGCCAGCAGCCGCGGUAAUACGAAUGGAGCAAGCGUUGUUCGGAAUCACUGGGCUUAAAGCGUAUGUAGGCGGAAACGAAAGUCAGGAGUGAAAUCCCGGGGCUCAACCUCGGAACUGCUCUUGAAACUUCGUUUCUAGAAUCCUGGAGAGGUUAGGAGAAUUCCGAGUGUAGAGGUGAAAUUCGCAGAUAUUCGGAGGAAUACCAGUGGCGUAGCGCCUAACUGGACAGGUAUUGACGCUCAGAUACGAAAGCGUGGGGAGCAAACAGGAUUAGAUACCCUGGUAGUCCACGCCGUAAACGAUGUUUGCUAGUUGUCAGGACCAAAGGUUUUGGUGACGGAGAGAAAUCAUUAAGCAAACCGCCUGGGGAGUACGGCCGCAAGUUAAAACUCAAAGGAAUUGACGGGGACCCGCACAAGCGUGGAGCAUGUUGUUUAAUUCGAAGCAACGCGAAGAACCUUACCCACUCUUGACAUCCUCCUUGGGACUUUCAGAGAUGAUUG
rnacentral:rRNA from 1 species